AGGUAGGGUGGCCGAGCGGUGAGGCGGAGGUCUGCAACACCUUUUACGACGGUUCGAAUCCGUUCCCAACCUC
rnacentral:tRNA from 1 species